GUGCAGCAGGCGCGAAACCUCCGCAAUACACGAAAGUGUGACGGGGCCAUCCCGAGUGCCGUCCGCUGAGGACGGCUUUUCCCCAGUGUACAUAGCUGGGGGAAUAAGGAGAGGGCAAGCCUGGUGUCAGCCGCCGCGGUAAUACCAGCUCUCCGAGUGGUGGGGACGCUUAUUGGGCCUAAAGCAUCCAUAGCCGGCUGGGCAAGUCCUCCGUUAAAAUCCAACGAUUCAAUCGUUGGGCUGCGGGGGAUACUGUCCAGCUUGGGGGCGGGAGAGGCCGACGGUAUUCCCGGGGUAGGGGUGAAAAUCCUAUAAUCCCGGGAGGACCACCAGUGGCGAAGGCUGUCGGCUAGAACGCGCCUGACGGUGAGGGAUGAAAAGCUGGGGGAGCGAACCGGAUUAGAUACCCGGGUAGU
rnacentral:rRNA from 1 species